AGCGAACGCUGGCGGCAGGCUUAACACAUGCAAGUCGAGCGGGCCCUUCGGGGUCAGCGGCAGACGGGUGAGUAACACGUGGGAACGUACCCUUUGGUUCGGAAUAACGCUGGGAAACUAGCGCUAAUACCGGAUACGCCCUUUUGGGGAAAGGCUUGCUGCCGAAGGAUCGGCCCGCGUCUGAUUAGCUAGUUGGUGGGGUAAUGGCCUACCAAGGCGACGAUCAGUAGCUGGUCUGAGAGGAUGAUCAGCCACACUGGGACUGAGACACGGCCCAGACUCCUACGGGAGGCAGCAGUGGGGAGUAUUAGACAAUGGGCGCAAGCCUAAUCCAGCCAUGCCGCGUGAGUGAUGAAGGCCUUAGGAUUGUAAAGCUCUUUUGUCCGGGACGAUAAUGACGGUACCGGAAGAAUAAGCCCCGGCUAACUUCGUG
rnacentral:rRNA from 1 species